rnacentral:lncRNA from 1 species
UUUUUUUUUUUUUAAUAUACUUUAAGUUCUAGGGUACAUGUGCACAACGUGCAGGUUUGUUACAUAUGUAUAUAUGUGCCAUGUUGGUUUGCUGCACCCAUUAACUCGUCAUUUACAUCAGGUAUAUCUCCUCAUGCUAACCCUCCCCCCUCCCCCGUCCCCACAAGAGGCCCGGGUGUGUGAUGUUCCCCUUCCUGACCACACCCAAUUUUUAAAGAUUUUUGUACAGAUAGAGUCUCACUGUGUUGCCCAGGCUGGUCUCAAAUUUCUGGCCUCAAGUGAUCCUCCCACCCCGGCCUCUCAAAGUGCUGGGAUUACAGGAGUCAGCCACCACACCUGGCCUUGUCUUCAUUUUAAAUCAUUCCUUCUGCAGUGUCACCUUUGUCCACCCUCCCUGUACCUUCAUUCCCCAAAUGUGGAACUAAAGCAAGGGAAUUUUAGUGUAGCCGGCUUUCAAUGGAAGCUUGGGAUUACAGGUAGAGAUGACAUUGGGCCACAACCUUAAAACAGAGUGUAAUCCAUCCCUUGAAUAAAAAGAAUGUAAUAAUCCACUCUAUCCCACUACGGGUUGCUGCUGGAUAUGUUACCUUUAAGUCCUUGCUUAUGUCCUUCUAUUCUGUGACCAUUUUCUUUUCCUCUCUACAAGGUUUUUUUUUUCCUUCAGUCUUCCCAAAUUCCUAUUCAUUUCUUAAGAAGAGUUGUUCUUCACCUUUUACUCCAAAUCCAGCUUGUGGCCAACUCCAUGCAUAUCCCAGAAUCCAUUAAGGAGCUCUGGCAAUGGAUUAUCAACUUCAGAUUUCUAUCUGUUAAAGCACAUUGUUCCAUGAUAGCUUUGGAAUUCGUUUUUCCUUUACAGGAUACAAAUUUUAGGAAGUGCUUCCCUCCUGACUAAUCUUGGUAAGCAGAGAGGGAGCUAUUUAAAGACUUAUCCUUCUCCACUUCACAGAAAAGCCUGAAGAGAUUUCUUUCCUUUCUUUUUCCCUUCAGCUCCUUCUCUUUUCCUUCUUCUCCCCACCCAACACAAAGAGGGUGAUUGUAAUGUAUUCAUAUGUUCGCAAUCCAAAUGAAGAACAAAGUAUGAAACCCAGUCUAAGGGGAAGGGGUACACUGGGUGCCAUGUGCUAUCACAUCUAGUCCCAGUUCUGCAAUGUCCUAGCAGUAUGAUUUUGAGUUGCUCCUUUUGACAUCUGUGACGAAAACUACAGUUUAUCUAUGUCACAAGGGCAUUCUAAAGACUAAAUCAGAGGACAGAUGAAGAAGUGCAUCUUAAAUUAUAAAGAGCUACCCAAGUAUAACAGAGUGAAUACCAGAUGGCAGACUCCAUCAGUAGAAGGGCCAAGAGAACAAGGCAAGAACCCAGCUGCUGCUGAUCUCUGAAUAGAGGCAAGAAUUCCAUCAAAGAGCAAAGACUCCAGGGCCCGAUAUUUUGGGGCACCAAGGUUGGGGGAGGGCGGGGGCAACGAGACUGAAGCUUGGGUUGGAGAGCUAGUGGCAUUCCUUUUAUUUGUUUUGGAGAGGCCGAUUUGAUCUCUGUGGUUGCUGCAGAUCUAAACUUAAAAGAAAUCUUACCCUACUCUCUCUUUUCUAAGGCUAAAGGAGCAAAGAGUUAAUUACCUUGUUACAUUCGUCUCUCUUUCCAAAUUUUCCACAUGAGCUUUCCCCUUCAUUAGCCAUCAUAUGAAACUGAAGAAUAUUUAUUAUUUAUUGUGUGUAUUAAAUUUUAUGUCUUUUCUUCUUAAUGUUUACAAUGCAUGAGUUUACUACUUUCUGUAUUCUCUCCUUAAAAAAGCAAUAUUUUUGUUAUUUUUAUUGUUUGUUUACUUGCAGUCCUCAAAUGACUUUUCGUAGGGUCAAUAAUUCUUCAUAAAAAGCAAAAUGAAAAGAUACUUCUGGCAUGCUUUAGAUUAAUCGCAAGAAGCAAAUAGUUUCCCAUACAUUUUUCUUAUUCUUAAUUCCUUUCUUUUAUCUUUUACCCAAUUUAAAUAUAAUACCUAUAAAUGCCCACUCAGUAAUGGUUAAGUUAUAUGGUUUUACUUAAGGGCUCAAUAGUAACUUAUUAAAGUAUAUUUUAUAAAAUGAUUUGGCUGUCAAGAUAAUAUGACUAUAGCAAUGACUUAUGUGCACACUGUGGGUCACUGCUAUGGCUCUAAGUCAGUUCUAAAGGGAACAUGAUAUGCACACCUACAUGCCAAUUUCAAUCUUGAUUAUCUACUGCAAUUCAUUACACUAGAGGAGUUCCGAAGAGUUUAUUCAUUUUAAGCCUUGUUUAACUUGCCUAGAAAUGAACUGCUAAAGUAUCAGUUGGAAAGCAUGUCUGAAUAAUUCCUCCAUUUAAAAU